rnacentral:misc_RNA from 1 species
CAAUAUCUUCCAAGUUAUCUUUACUUGGUGUGUUGGGUCUUCGUCCUUUUUCUCUCCUCUCUUGCUACCUAAGCUGGUUGGGAGGGACCUGGACGUACCUGAAAAUUAGUGGCGGUGCCAUGAUAGCCUCAAGCGUAGCAGGCUUCCUCUCGCUUUGGAUGGUCUUGUCGUGUAGCUUGCCGGCCUUUGCAUGCUUAUCUUAAGAU